AGCGAACGCUGGCGGCAGGCUUAACACAUGCAAGUCGAGCGGGCCUUUCGGGGUCAGCGGCGGACGGGUGAGUAACGCGUGGGAACGUGCCCUCUGGUUCGGAAUAACUCAGGGAAACUUGAGCUAAUACCGGAUACGCCCUUUUGGGGAAAGGCUUGCUGCCGGAGGAUCGGCCCGCGUCUGAUUAGCUAGUUGGUGAGGUAACGGCUCACCAAGGCGACGAUCAGUAGCUGGUCUGAGAGGAUGAUCAGCCACACUGGGACUGAGACACGGCCCAGACUCCAAGGAGAGGCGGGAGGGGGGAAUAUUGGGCAGGGGGCGCAAGCCUGAACCGCCCAGGCCGGGAGGGUGAUGAAGGCCUUGGGGUUGUAAAGCUCUUUUUACGGGGAGGAAAAUGGGGGAACGGGGGGAAAAGCCCCCGGUAAAUUUGGU
rnacentral:rRNA from 1 species